GCCCGGCUAGCUCAAUCGGUAGAGCGUGAGACUCUUACAGAGUUAUCCGGAAUCUCACGAAAUUCCUCUCUUCAUCUCAAGGUCGUGGGUUCGACCCCCACGUCGGGCU